rnacentral:rRNA from 1 species
GGGCCUACGGGAGGCAGCAGUGGGGAAUAUUGCACAAUGGGCGAAAGCCUGAUGCAGCAACGCCGCGUGAAGGAAGAAGGCCUUCGGGUCGUAAACUUCUGUCCUUGGGGAAGAAGAACUGACGGUACCCAAGGAGGAAGCCCCGGCUAACUACGUGCCAGCAGCCGCGGUAAUACGUAGGGGGCAAGCGUUAUCAGGAAUUAUUGGGCGUAAAGAGUGCGUAGGUGGUUACUUAAGCGCGGGGUUUAAGGCAAUGGCUCAACCAUUGUUCGCCCUGCGAACUGGGUUACUUGAGUGCAGGAGAG